GCGCGAAACCUUUACAAUGCACGAAAGUGUGAUAGGGGGAUACUCAGUGCUUACGGUUCUGCCGUAGGCUUUUGUCGAUCGUAAACAGAUCGGCGAAUAAGUGGUGGGUAAGACCGGUGCCAGCCGCCGCGGUAACCCCGGCGCCACGAGUGGUCAUCACGUUUAUUGGGCCUAAAGCGUUCGUAGCCUGUUUGGUGCAUCUCUUGUGAAAUUGUUCGGCUUAACCGGACAGCGUGCAGGAGACACGGCCAGACUCGAGACUGGGAGGCGCAAGAAGUAUGCUGUGGGGACUGGUAAAAUGGGAUAAUCCACAGUAGACUACCGAUGGCGAAGGCAUCUUGCGAGAACAGAUCUGACGGUGAGGAACGAAAGCCAGGGGAGCGAACCGG
rnacentral:rRNA from 1 species